CACAGCAAAAACUUUGGAAAUUUAAACGGCAUGUAAAUCAUGCUGGAUGUGAAUUUACAUGAGUUGAAACACAAAUUUAAUUUAAAAUUGAGUUUAAAUCAAUGCACAUAGUUUGAGCACGAAAAAACAUAGAAAACUCAAUGCUAUCCACAAAAAUGCAUGUAUUUGCAUUUAUAUAUCAUUUGAUAAAGCUACAAAUUUCAACCGACGUGUAAAAUCACGAGAACGUUUGGUAGUGGAAGAAAACAUGGCCGGCAAAAAGACUGCGUGCUGGAAAACAGGUUGUGGUUUAUGAUAAAAUUGUGUUUCGCCGCUUCGAUAAUUGGAUUUUUUCAUCCGCUGAUCUGCAGGGAUCCCGUGUGUUUAUUUCCAACAGCUCGCACUCCAUUUGAUUACUCCCGUCGUCGUCGUCGUCGUCCUCGUCGUCGUCCACCGCUUCAGCAGCAGAAACCGUGAUCGCAGUCAAAAAUAGCAUCAAACAUACAAUGAGUGAAACAGUGUAACAGUGAUGAUAUUACUUUUCCAGAAAUAAAUCAGGUGUAUUGAUCUUUGGCAUGA